UGGAAUCACGGGAGGAGAAUUCUGAGUGCUUGUGAGAACACACAAGAAAAGAAGACAAGAGUCUUGUUGCCUCUGUUUCUUUAAAACAUGGAAUUGUUCUUUAAAGACGGCUUCUCCCAGGUGAAAUGGGUGGGGCAGUAUUGUCAUCAGUGUGAUGUAUGGGUGCCGGGGACUGCCAGCAUGACCCUCGGGACUCUAGCCCAGAGGAACAGGCAAAGAGCUGAGUGCUGAAGAUGGAUCUGCAGGGCAGAUGUUGCGGGACUCUCAGCCUCACCCAGCUUUUGCAGAAAAGGCCACACAGAGACCUGGCCACCUCCUGCGCCUUGCAGGGAAGAUGAUUCACAUGAUCAAAUAGCAAGAACGUGGAAACAUCAUGGAGCUGACUCCUGGGGGUUCAAGUGCCACUUGUUGGCCUGAUCAAUGACAAGAUGCUAUUGUUUAAACAGACCAGCUUCAAACUGUGAAAAGUACAAGCUAAAGAAACCUGAGCCAAAGAUCAAAAACUCAAGUGACAGCAAAUGCUGGCAAGGAUGCGGAGAAAGAGGAACACUCCUCCAUUGUUGGUGGGAUUGCAGACUGGUACAACCAUUCUGGAAAUCAGUCUGGAGGUUCCUCAGAAAAUUGGACACUGAACUACCUGAGGACCCAGCUAUCCCUCUCUUGGGCAUAUACCCAAAAGAUGCCUCAACAUAUAAAAGAGACACGUGCUCCACUAUGCUCAUCGCAGCCUUAUUUAUAAUAGCCAGAAGCUGGAAGGGACCCAGAUGCCCUUCAACAGAGGAAUGGAUACAGAAAAUGUGGUACAUCUACACAAUGGAAUAUUACUCAGCUAUCAAAAACAAUGACUUUAUGAAAUUCAUAGGCAAAUGGAUGGAACUGGAAAAUAUCAUCCUGAGUGAGGUAACCCAAUCACAGAAAAACACACAUGGUAUUCACUCACUGAUAAGUGGAUAUUAGCCCAAAUGCUUGAAUUACCCUAGAUGCACAGAACACAUGAAACUCAAGAAGGAUGACCAAAACGCAAAUGCUUCACUCCUUCUUUAAAAGGGGAACAAGAAUACCCUUGGGAGGGAAUAGGGAGGCAAAGUUUAGAACAGAGGCAGAAGGAACACCCAUUCAGAGCCUGCCCCACAUGUGGCCCAUACAUAUACAGCCACCAAACUAGAUAAGAUGGAUGAAGCAAAGAAGUGCAGGCCGACAGGAACCGGAUGUAGAUCUCUCCUGAGAGACACAGCCAGAAUACAGCAAAUACAUAGGCGAAUGCCAGCAACAAACCACUGAACUGAGAGCGGGACCCCCGUUGAAGGAAUCAGAGAAAGAACUGGAAGAGCUUGAAGGGGCUCAAGACCCCAUAUGAACAACAAUGCCAACCAACCAGAGCUUCCAGGGACUAAGCCACUACCCAAAGACUAUACAUGGACUGACCCUGGGCUCCAUAGGUAGCAAUGAAUAGCCUACUAAGAGCACCAGUGGAAGGGGAAGCCCUUGGUCCUGCUAAGACUGAACCCCCAGUGAACGUGAUUGUUGGGGGGAGGGCGGUAAUGGGGGGAGGAUUGGGAGGGGAACACCAAUAGAGAAGGGGAGAGGGAGGGGUUAGGGGGAUGUUGGCCGGGAAACUGGGAAGGGGAAUAACAAUCGAAAUGUAAAUAAGAAAUACUCAAGUUAAUAAAGAUGGAAAAAAAAAAGAAAAAAGAAAAAA